AUUGAACGCUAGCGGGAUGCCUUACACAUGCAAGUCGAACGGAGUGGCGAACGGGUGGGUAAUGUAUCGGAACGUGCCCAGUAGCGGGGGAUAAAUACGCGAAAGCGUAGCUAAUACCACAUACUAUUGGAGCGGCCGAGAUCGGAUUAGCUAGUUGGAGGGGUAACGGCUAACCAAGGCGACGAGGCGUAGCUGGUUUGAGAGGACGACCAGCCACACUGGGACUGAGACACGGCCCAGACUCCUACGGGAGGCAGCAGUGGGGAAUCUUGGACAAUGGGGGAAACCCUGAUCCAGCCACCCCGCGUGUGCGAUGAAGGCUUUCGGGUUGUAAAGCACUGUUGGCAGGAAAGCGGUACCUAACCAAUAAGCACCGGCUAACUCCGUGCCAGCAGCCGCGGUAAUUC
rnacentral:rRNA from 1 species